rnacentral:rRNA from 1 species
AGCGAACAUUGGCGGUAGGCUUAACACAUGCAAGUCGAGCGAGGCGUAAUAGUCGAGUGGCGAACGGGUGAGUAAUACAUGGGAAUCUACCUUGGAGUGGGGGAUAACAGCCAGAAAUGGCUGCUAAUACCGCAUAAUCCCGAGAGGGGAAAGCGCGCUGCGCUCCAAGAUGAGCCCAUGGCUGAUUAGCUAGUUGGUGGGGUAAAGGCCUACCAAGGCGACGAUCAGUAGCUGGUCUGAGAGGAUGAUCAGCCACACUGGAACUGAGACACGGUCCAGACUCCUACGGGAGGCAGCAGUGGGGAAUCUUGCGCAAUGGGGGCAACCCUGACGCAGCCAUACCGCGUGUGCGAUGAAGGUCUUCGGAUUGUAAAGCACUUUCAGUAGGGACGACGAUGACGGUACCUACAGAAGAAGUCACGGCUAACUUCGUGCCAGCAGCCGCGGUAA